rnacentral:rRNA from 1 species
UACGAAGGGGGGCUAGCGUUGCUCGGAAUUACUGGGCGUAAAGGGCUCGUAGGCGGCCAACUAAGUCGGACGUGAAAUCCCCAGGCUCAACCUGGGAACUGCGUCCGAUACUGGAUGGCUUGAAUCCGGGAGAGGGAUGCAGAAUUCCAGGUGUAGCGGUGAAAUGCGUAGAUAUCUGGAGGAAUACCGGUGGCGAAGGCGGCAUCCUGGACCGGCAUUGACGCUGAGGAGCGAAAGCCAGGGGGAGCAAACGGG